UACAUACUGUGCGAACGUUAUUCGGAUUUACUGGGCUUAAAGGGUGCGUAGGCGGCUUGUUAAGUAGGAUGUGAAAGCCCCCAGCUCAACUGGGGAAUUGCAUUCUAAACUGGCGAGCUAGAGUGAGAUAGGGGUGUGUGGAACUGCCAGUGGAGCGGUGAAAUGUGUUGAUAUUGGCAGGAACGCCGGUGGCGAAAGCGACACACUGGGUCUCAACUGACGCUGAGGCACGAAAGCCAGGGGAGCGAACGGGAUUAGAAACCCCGGUAGU
rnacentral:rRNA from 1 species